rnacentral:rRNA from 1 species
UUACACAAAUAUGAAGGCGGGCUGGAACCUCUCGGGGUUACAGCCUUGCUGAAUUAUUCACCCUUGUCUUUUGCGUACUUCUUGUUUCCUUGGUGGGUUCGCCCACCACUAGGACAAACAUAAACCUUUUGUAAUUGCAAUCAGCGUCAGUAACAAAUUAAUAAUUACAACUUUCAACAACGGAUCUCUUGGUUCUGGCAUCGAUGAAGAACGCAGCGAAAUGCGAUAAGUAGUGUGAAUUGCAGAAUUCAGUGAAUCAUCGAAUCUUUGAACGCACAUUGCGCCCUUUGGUAUUCCAAAGGGCAUGCCUGUUCGAGCGUCAUUUGUACCCUCAAGCUUUGCUUGGUGUUGGGCGUCUUGUCUCUAGCUUUGCUGGAGACUCGCCUUAAAGUAAUUGGCAGCCGGCCUACUGGUUUCGGAGCGCAGCACAAGUCGCACUCUCUAUCAGCAAAGGUCUAGCAUCCAUUAAGCCUUUUUUUCAACUUUUGACCUCGGAUCAGGUAGGGAUACCCGCUGAACUUAAGCAUAUCAAUAAGCGGAGGAAAAGAAACCAAACAGGGAUUGCCCUAGUAACGGCGAGUGAAGCGGCAACAGCUCAAAUUUGAAAUCUGGCUCUUUUAGAGUCCGAGUUGUAAUUUUGCAGAGGGCGCUUUGGCUUUUGGCAGCGGUCCAAGUUCCUUGGAACAG